GAUGAAGAACGCAGCGAAAUGCGAUAAGUAAUGUGAAUUGCAGAAUUCAGUGAAUCAUCGAAUCUUUGAACGCACCUUGCACCCUUUGGCAUUCCGAAGGGUAUGCUCGUUUGAGUGUCAUUGUACUCUCACACUUCCGAUCUUUGGAUUGGGAGCGGUGGACUUGGGUGUUGCUGCUUACUGUGGCUCACCUCAAAUCGAUUCGUGCACCUCUUGGUUGGACAUAGUACGGCGUGAUAAGUGUCUUCGCCGGCACCUCAGUAGAGGGUGGCUGAUCGGGAGCUCUGUUUCAAACCGUCCUCGGACAACAACUGACAACUUGACCUCAAAUCGAGUAGGACUACCCGCUGAACUUAAGCAUAUCAAUAAGCGGAGGA
rnacentral:misc_RNA from 1 species